rnacentral:rRNA from 1 species
AGAGUUUGAUCAUGGCUCAGGACGAACGCUGGCGGCGUGCUUAACACAUGCAAGUGGAGCGACGAACCAGGCUUCGGCCUGGGGCAGAGCCGCGAACGGGUGAGUAACACGUGGGUAACGUGCCCCGAUGACCGGGACAACCCGGGGAAACCCGGGCUAAUACCGGAUGUGCUCCCUCACAUCAGUGAGACGAGUAAAGGAAGCUUCGGCCUCCGCAUCGGGAUCGGCCCGCGGCCCAUUAGCUUGUUGGUGAGGUAACGGCUCACCAAGGCCGCGAUGGGUAGCUGGUCUGAGAGGACGAUCAGCCACACUGGGACUGAGACACGGCCCAGACUCCUACGGGAGGCAGCAGUGGGGAAUCUUGCGCAAUGCGCGACAGCGUGACGCAGCAACGCCGCGUGGGGGAAGAAGGCCUUCGGGUUGUAAACCCCUUUCAGGAGGGACGAAGGCCGGGCCGUUAAUAGCGGUCCCGGCUGACGGUACCUCCACAAGAAGCCCCGGCUAACUACGUGCCAGCAGCGGCGGUAAUAC